rnacentral:rRNA from 1 species
UCCAGACUCCUACGGGAGGCAGCAGUGGGGAAUAUUGGGCAAUGGGCGCAAGCCUGACCCAGCAACGCCGCGUGAAGGAAGAAGGCUUUCGGGUUGUAAACUUCUUUUCUCGGGGACGAAGAAAGUGACGGUACCUGAGGAAUAAGCCACGGCUAACUACGUGCCAGCAGCCGCGGUAAUACGUAGGUGGCAAGCGUUAUCCGGAUUUAUUGGGUGUAAAGGGCGUGUAGGCGGGAGCGCAAGUCAGAUGUGAAAACUCAGGGCUCAACCCUGAGCCUGCAUUUGAAACUGUGUUUCUUGAGUGCUGGAGAGGCAAUCGGAAUUCCGUGUGUAGCGGUGAAAUGCGUAGAUAUUAGGAGGAACACCAGUGGCGAAGGCGGCCUGCUGGACGAUGACUGACGUUGAGGCUCGAAAGCGUGGGGAGCAAACAGGAUUAGAUACCCGGGUA